rnacentral:lncRNA from 1 species
GCUUUGAAGAGGGAGCACCAUUUUGCCUGUUUCUCAUGUGUGAGCAGAGGGACUCAGACGGCGCUGGCUCCAAUCCAGAUUUGCUGUUACGCACAGCGCCCUCCACAACCAUCCAUGAAGUGGAGCAGAAGAACUUCCGCCUUUCAGAGCAAGCCUCCUGGGAUUCAUUGAUUUUGUAAUCCCUUGCCUCUAUUUGUAUUAUAAUACAUUGAAACCAAAGCUAGCAUUUCAAAAAUCAGGACCAAGUAUUUUAGUUACUUGGGACCAAGAACAUACAGUUCCAGUGAAUGAAAUUAACAUAAGGACAGAGCCAUUCGACAAAGAAAAAGAAAAGUCCAGGAGAUUAAAGAUACAAUUCAGAUGAACUGUUACAAGAUAACUCCAUGUCAACAGCUCAACUCCGAUCGGGUCAAGGGAUACAUUGGCAAUGAAGGAAAAUCAUAAAGCUGACAGCCAGAGGCCUGGCUGGGGAGUGGCUCCUGUGGGGCAAGAGGUAUCCAGCAGGAAGAAGGCGAAACCCUAACAGCCUCCGCUGGGGGCCAAAGCCAGCUUUCCUAGCUGGGAAAAGCACAUCCAAUCCCAGCACACGCUGUUCUGUAACAACAGAAAAUCCUUCCCGUGGACUUUGUGCUCCCAGUGGUAAGGAGCACAGAUGGGCUGGUCCUAUGCCGGGUUCCUCUUCCUGCCCAUGGGUGUGUCCAGGUGAUGGCUCCUUUUUUCCCCAUCAUCAAACACCCAGAGCCCCCGAUCAGUUUUCCACAGCGCAGGGUGCAGAGAGGGAAGGAGAAGGCCGCUGUUCAUCACCCUGGUGCCUGGUCCCCUGCACCGGGCAGAGGCCUCUCUUCCACCGGGAGCCUGGCCCCGGCCCCUUGGCUGUGUCACUGAGAAGUGCCUAACACAACCUGUCACCCACGCUCUCCUCCAGCAUCCCGAGUCAGCCACUCACAGCCAUUAUUCUUUCCACGUGAAACUGUGAAAUGAAGACAUAGAGGGAGUGGAAUUAAAGAACCGGCUAUUAACAGAAUUACCUUAAAAAGCGUUUCACUUUAACACAAAAAUUGAUUUCAUUCAAAAAGGCAAUAAUGCACAUUAAAAAUUUUAAAGUAUCAAAAGAUGUACGAUUUUUCUCGACAUUUGGGCACCCAGUUUACUGCCUCAAAGUCAAAUAUUGUUACUAAUGUUUUAUGUAUUAUUAAAGGGUUAA